UGGGGAAUAUUGCGCAAUGGACGAAAGUCUGACGCAGCAACGCCGCGUGAGGGAUGACGGCCUUCGGGUUGUAAACCUCUUUCAGCAGGGACGAAGCGAAAGUGACGGUACCUGCAGAAGAAGGACCGGCCAACUACGUGCCAGCAGCCGCGGUAAUACGUAGGGUCCGAGCGUUGUCCGGAAUUAUUGGGCGUAAAGGGCUCGUAGGCGGUUCGUCACGUCGGGAGUGAAAACUCGGAGCUUAACUCCGAGCCUGCUUCCGAUACGGGCAGACUAGAGGUAGGCAGGGGAGAGCGGAACUCCUGGUGUAGCGGUGGAAUGCGCAGAUAUCAGGAAGAACACCGGUGGCGAAGGCGGCUCUCUGGGCCUUACCUGACGCUGAGGAGCGAAAGCGUGGGUAGCGAACAGG
rnacentral:rRNA from 1 species